rnacentral:rRNA from 1 species
CAGGGGGAGCUGCAAGACAGAUAAUGACAGAGACGCGAGGCUCAAUCGUGAGCGUCUGCUGCGUGCUGGGCCGACCCUCCCACCCGUGUCGAUUUAUAUCUUGUUGCUUUGGCGGGCCGGGCCGCGUCGGCGCUGUCCGCAGGGACACGCGUCGGCCGCCCACCGGUUUCGACUGGAGCGCGCCCGCCAAAGACCCAACCAAAACUCAGGUUGUCUGUGUCGUCUGAGCAUUAUAAAUGAAAAUUGAUAAAACUUUCAACAACGGAUCUCUUGGCUCUGGCAUCGAUGAAGAACGCAGCGAAAUGCGAUAAGUAAUGUGAAUUGCAGAAUUUAGUGAAUCAUCGAAUCUUUGAACGCACAUUGCGCCCCUUGGUAUUCCGAGGGGCAUGCCUGUUCGAGCGUCAUAACACCCCCUCCAGCUGCCGUUGUGUGGCUGCGGUGUUGGGGCUCGUCGCGAUGCGGCGGCCCUUAAAGACAGUGGCGGUCCCGGCGUGGGCUCUACGCGUAGUAACUUGCUUCUCGCGACAGAGUGACGCCCGGUGGCUUGCCAGAACAACCCCUAUUGGGUCCAGUCACAUGGAUCACAGGUUGACCUCGAAUCAGGUAGGAAUACCCGCUGAACUUAAGCAUAUCAAUAAGCGGAGGAAAAGAAACCAACCGGGAUUACCUCAGUAACGGCGGGAAAAAGGGCCCCAUGGACUUUAAUCUCCGAUCCCGGGGUUGAAAUUGAAUAGGUAAAUAAAAACUUUAAACAACGU